UAUAGAGUAAAUCUUUGAAAAUCUUCUUCUCAGAAACUAAUCAGCCAGAUGAUUCUUUAUAAUUGUUAAGACUUUGGCUCCAGGACUUACGAAUCAAGAAUUCUUCGGCCUCACAAGAAGGUUCAGAGUUUGAUGUAGCUUUUUAUCCCAUAUAUAAACAAUUGUUAAAGAUCUUUUUGAGAACUGCAAUACUCAACAUGUGAUAUGACCAUAAAAUCAUUCUGUUAGAAAAGGGACUAAUGAUAAUAAACAUAAGAACAUCCAGGGGGAAAAUGGAUUUUAUUUAUACAGCAUCUACAUGUAUUAUUGUACAUUGUCCAGAUAGUUUGUAUUAUGACUCCAUUAAGCUGAUUUCAUCAUACUUAUUGUUCCUUAGGUGAGCGAUGUGGCCCAUGGGCCUCUUGUUAUUUAAAACAAUUAAAUAAAAAAAAAUAUCAUCAGAUACAUAAAUUUGUAAAUGUAUUACUGACUAUACAUAUGUAUCUACAGUGAAAUUCUGACAAUUUUGAUUUUAAUUUUUCUUUGUUAACUUUUUUUUGUUUUUUACAAUUCUAGAAUUUUUUUUUUUUUUGUAUGUGUUCAAAACCUUUAUUAUUCAAUUCAAUUAUUUGUCCCAUUUGAAAUUAGCCUUGCGGGGGUAUUAGUCCCUUUAGGACAGUUCUAGGUUUUAGACAAAAUUCAGGAAAAAUCCUUAGACUAGCCAAUCUGGGGGAUAAGCCGAUUUUCAAACGAUGAUUACUAUAGUGAAAGUGUGACCGCUAAUUAAGAAAGUCAUCACAUUAAGUAUAUACUAGACUUUGACCCGUGCAUGCACGGGUUGACAUUGUAUAUAAUAUCGGACAUUUACAAAAUAAAUACAUCAACACACCGUAUUGUUGCCAUUUACAUAAUAAAACUUUAAGCCUACAAUAAUGCUAUUAAGGGUGUAUUCUUGUCAUCAAUUUUUACCCCAAGUGGGUCUCCAUAUAUGAACAUGUCGUAAAAUUCAAACUGUUACAAUUUUCAACAAAACUUCUAAAAUAAAUAAAAUGAGUCAUAUUUUACACAAUAAACCCUUAUUAAAUGCAUAAGAGACAAAGGAAAAGGUAAAAUGAUGUCAUUUACGACAUACCAUAGUUGGCGCGAACAACAAUAUGGAGAGGGAAAUCCGAAAGGAGAAAGGGUCGCUUCGUUUCAAAGCGAUGUGAACAGCAGUACGAGUCCUCCGAAAAUGACAACUGAGAGAUGAGGAAAGAUGGGGAAAAAAUUUGAACAAAAUAAUCGCCAACACAAUUAUUUUAGAACUGCAACUAACGAGCGAAAUGAGUCAGAGGAAAUUCCAGUAGAGAAAAUCGAGAUAGUUUACAGCAAAAAUGUGGUAAUUGCCACAUUAUCCAGAUAGCUGCAGCAUGAUGAGAAGAUCCCUGGUACUGUUUUGUCCAAACAAAAUUUCCAAUUUCUUGCUCUGCAUCUGAAGUGACAGUCAUAACUGUGAAAGGUGGUCAAUGUUCCACAGAGGCAAACCUGUUCAAUCCAGCAAAUUUCCUCUGCGUUUGAGUUCUUCGUUGACUUCAUUGACAAGGAGAAUCACGAAGUGUAUGGAUAGAAAAAUAGCUGCCAGUGAACUAUGCAGUUCUGAAGCUAGCAUUUAGUAGAGGAAGAGGGCACACAACAAGUUUUGUCAAAAGAGUGUCGAAGUGGACCAAGAGUAACAAAGUCAUCAAAGAUGACAUUCGCUUGCUGAACAUUUUGAAUAUACUUUUAAAAGUGAUAGUUAAAGCUCAUUAUAUCAGAAGUACAUUUGUUUGCUGAACAUUUUGGAUAUACUUUUAUAAGUGAUAGUUAAAGCUCAUUAUAUCAGAAGUGAUAGUUAAAGUUCAUUAUAUCAGAAGUGUAUAUACUGCCUUUGAUUUUCAUUAUUCCUGAACUAGUUAUUAGGUCCAGUACAUGUAUGUACUGUAUGAUGUAACACAACAAAACACCCCCCCCCCCCGUCCAAAAAAAUAAUCCUGAUUAAGAAAAAUUGAUAAAUUCUACUGAUAGUAUUACUAUAUUUUGAAUCACUCAUCGCUAUGAAGUGUUCAAUUUAUGUCUAUAUUCUAGCUACCUGAAUAGAAUGAUUUUGUCAUUCAGGGAAUUUUCAUAAAACAAAUGUUUUUCAACUGAUCAGAUGAAGUAAUGUGCAACUUCUUAUAUCAAUAGACAAGACAGUAUUUUAUUGCAACCAUAUAUUGAUGUGUGUUCAUUUACAAUAUAACCUAACAGUUUAUUAGAAUAUAUCAUACAUAUCAUACAUGUAAUUGUAUGUAUAUGAACUAUCAAUGUAUGCUCUGACCUAGAACACAUAUAUACUGGUUAAAACUUAUUGAUCAGACAUCAAUCCAUUUUGAAGUUGCAGUUUUUUCAUUCCAUGUCAUUGCUUGCAUUCAUUGAGAAAAUACUGUCAAUCAAAAUCUAUGCAUCUAGCUGCUUUUUUUU